GGCUCAGAUGAUCAGAGCAUGGUGUUGAUAACACCAAGGCCAGGGUUUGAUCCCUG
rnacentral:tRNA from 1 species